UACGGAAGGGGCAAGCGUUGUUCGGAAUCAUUGGGCGUAAAGAGCGCGCAGGCGGUCGUUCAAGUCGAGUGUGAAAGCCCCCGGCUCAACUGGGGAGGGUCACUCGAUACUGAUCGACUCGAAGGCAGGAGAGGGAAGUGGAAUUCCCGGUGUAGUGGUGAAAUGCGUAGAUAUCGGGAGGAACACCAGUGGCGAAGGCGACUUCCUGGCCUGUUCUUGACGCUGAGGCGCGAAAGCUAGGGGAGCAAACGGG
rnacentral:rRNA from 1 species